rnacentral:rRNA from 1 species
GACGAACGCUGGCGGCGUGCCUAAUACAUGCGAGUAGAACGCUGAAGAGAGGAGCUUGCUCUUCUUGGAUGAGUUGCGAACGGGUGAGUAACGCGUAGGUAACCUGCCUGGUAGCGGGGGAUAACUAUUGGAAACGAUAGCUAAUACCGCAUAAAAUGGAUUAUCGCAUGAUAAUCCAUUGAAAGGUGCAAAUGCAUCACUACCAGAUGGACCUGCGUUGUAUUAGCUAGUUGGUGGGGUAACGGCUCACCAAGGCGACGAUACAUAGCCGACCUGAGAGGGUGAUCGGCCACACUGGGACUGAGACACGGCCCAGACUCCUACGGGAGGCAGCAGUAGGGAAUCUUCGGCAAUGGACGGAAGUCUGACCGAGCAACGCCGCGUGAGUGAAGAAGGGUUUCGGAUCGUAAAGCUCUGUUGUAAGAGAAGAACGAGUGUGAGAGUGGAAAGUUCACACUGUGACGGUAUCUUACCAGAAAGGGACGGCUAACUACGUG